GUGCUCUCUUCGGCAGCACAUAUACUAAUAUUGGAACAACACUGAGAAGAUUACCAUGGCCCCUGCACAAGGAUAACACGCAAAUUAAUGAAGCAUUCCAUAUUUUU